rnacentral:rRNA from 1 species
AGACAGGUGCUGCAUGGCUGUCGUCAGCUCGUGUUGUGAAAUGUUGGGUUAAGUCCCGCAACGAGCGCAACCCUUAUCCUUUGUUGCCAGCGGUUCGGCCGGGAACUCAAAGGAGACUGCCAGUGAUAAACUGGAGGAAGGUGGGGAUGACGUCAAGUCAUCAUGGCCCUUACGAGUAGGGCUACACACGUGCUACAAUGGCAUAUACAAAGAGAAGCGACCUCGCGAGAGCAAGCGGACCUCAUAAAGUAUGUCGUAGUCCGGAUUGGAGUCUGCAACUCGACUCCAUGAAGUCGGAAUCGCUAGUAAUCGUAGAUCAGAAUGCUACGGUGAAUACGUUCCCGGGCCUUGUACACACCGCCCGUCACACCAUGGGAGUGGGUUGCAAAAGAAGUAGGUAGCUUAACCUUCGGGAGGGCGCUUACCACUUUGUGAUUCAUGACUGGGGUGAAGUCGUAACAAGGUAACCGUAGGGGAACCUGCGGUUGGAUCACCUCCUUACCUAAAGA